AAUAAUAAUAAUAAUAAUAAUAAUAAUAAUAAUAAUAAUAAUAAUAAUAAUAAUAAUAAUAAUAAUAAUAAUAAUAAUAAUAAUAAUAAUAAUAAUAAUAAUAAUAAUAAUAAUAAUAAUAUUCAGAGAACAUUCAAGACCAUGAAUGGACGUAUCAACAUCAGAUACUACUUCAGAUAAUAAUAUUCGGGGAAUUCCAAGGAUCGUGUCUAUUGCAUUACAUUAAUU
rnacentral:lncRNA from 7 species